GUAGGGAAUAUUGGGCAAUGGUCGGAAGACUGACCCAGCCAUGCCGCGUGCAGGAAGACGGCCCUCUGGGUUGUAAACUGCUUUUAUCUGGGAAGAAAAGGGCCAUGCGUGGCAAAUUGCCGGUACCAGAUGAAUAAGCACCGGCUAACUCCGUGCCAGCAGCCGCGGUAAUACGGAGGGUGCGAGCGUUGUCCGGAUUUAUUGGGUUUAAAGGGUGCGUAGGCGGCUGAUUAAGUCAGCGGUGGAAGACUUCGGCUUAACCGGAGCAGUGCCGUUGAUACUGGUGGGCUUGGGUGUCGGAGGGGUACAUGGAAUUGAUGGUGUAGCGGUGAAAUGCAUAGAUACCAUCAGGAACACCGAUAGCGAAGGCAUUGUACUGGCCGACAACUGACGCUGAUGCACGAAAGUGUGGGGAUCGAACAGGAUUAGAAACCCGGGUAGUCC
rnacentral:rRNA from 1 species